rnacentral:rRNA from 1 species
GAUGAACGCUGGCGGUAUGCUUAACACAUGCAAGUCGAACGGAGUGCUUCGGCACUUAGUGGCGGACGGGUGAGUAACGCGUGAGAAUCUGGCUUCCGGUUCGGGACAACCACUGGAAACGGUGGCUAAUACCGAAUGUGCCUUUCGGGGUGAAAGAUUAAUUGCCGGAAGAUGAGCUCGCGUCUGAUUAGCUAGUUGGUAGAGUAAAAGCCUACCAAGGCGACGAUCAGUAACUGGUCUGAGAGGAUGACCAGUCACACUGGAACUGAGACACGGUCCAGACUCCUACGGGAGGCAGCAGUGGGGAAUUUUCCGCAAUGGGCGAAAGCCUGACGGAGCAAUACCGCGUGAGGGAGGAAGGCUCUUGGGUCGUAAACCUCUUUUCUCAGGGAAGAACACAAUGACGGUACCUGAGGAAUCAGCCUCGGCUAACUCCGUGCCAGCAGCCGCGGUAAUACGGAGGAGGCAAGCGUUAUCCGGAAUGAUUGGGCGUAAAGAGUCCGUAGGUGGCCGUUCAAGUCGGCUGUCAAAAAGCAGGGCUUAACUCUGUCAAGGCAGUGGAAACUGAACAGCUAGAGUACGGUAGGGGUAGAGGGAAUUCCCGGUGUAGCGGUGAAAUGCGUAGAGCUCGGGAAGAACACCAGCGGCGAAAGCGCUCUACUGGACCUGUACUGACACUGAGGGACGAAAGCUAGGGGAGCGAAUGGGAUUAGAUACCCCAGUAGUCCUAGCCGUAAACGAUGGAUACUAGGUG